CGCGAUGUAAGUUUGCAAUUGCAACCGAUUGUUAUUAAAAUAUUUGCCAAGGUUUAAGGGUUAAAAGUUAAAAACGUAAAUGUUUGAAGAAUGUGCAGGUUUGCAAACGAAUUAUAUGUCUCUCUCAAUUUGAUGAAAUAUAUAUAUCAACAUGGAAAAAGCAAUAAAAUUCGCGACAUGCGACAGACUGUUGCUGUUGGAGUCAUCAAGGAAACUACCAAAAAGGUCGGGAAUGUGAAAGAAACCAAGGCAGCAGCUAAGGCCAAUAAAAAACAGGAGCAAAGAAGUGACUGGAAGCAU